UACGUAGGUGACGAGCGUUAUCCGGAAUUAUUGGGCGUAAAGCGCACGCAAGCGGUCUGUCAAGUCUGACGCGAAAUCUCUUGGCUUAACUGGGAGCGGUCGUUGGAAACUGAUAGGCUUGAGGCGAUGAGAGGGGUGCAGAAUUCCUGGUGUAGUGGUGGAAUGCGUAGAGAUCAGGAGGAAUACCUGUGGCGAAAGCGGCACCCGGGCGUCGUUCUGACUCUCAUGUGCGAAAGCGUGGGGAGCGAACGGG
rnacentral:rRNA from 1 species